AAGCCUUCAUCAUAGCAGCAUUCAUCACAACAACGUCGUCGUCCGCGGUGGCCGGAGCGUGUGCACACGGAAAGAGAUGAGCGUGGUGCUUGCCGCGCUUGUUGAAGUGGAACGGAAGGUGAAAAGCUGGGUACGCUGGGCUGUUACUGCAACUGAAUUCGUACUCGCUGGAUGGAGCGCGUGCACACACGGACUCAGGAGUUGAAGAAGAAGCUGAUGAGGAAGACGAUGAAGAGA
rnacentral:misc_RNA from 1 species